rnacentral:rRNA from 1 species
UACAGAGGGUGCGAGCGUUAAUCGGAAUUACUGGGCGUAAAGCGUGCGUAGACGGUAGCGUAAGUCAGAUGUGAAAGCCCCGGGCUCAACCUGGGAACUGCAUUUGAGACUGCUCUGCUCGGGUGCGGAAGAGGGAAGCGGAAUUUCCGGUGUAGCGGUGAAAUGCGUAGAUAUCGGAAGGAACACCAGUGGCGAAAGCGGCUUCCUGGUCCGACACCGACGUCCAGGCACGAAAGCGUGGGGAGCGAACAGG